GACGAACGCUGGCGGCGUGCUUAACACAUGCAAGUCGAACGGAAAGGCCCUGCUUUUGUGGGGUGCUCGAGUGGCGAACGGGUGAGUAACACGUGAGUAACCUGCCCUUGACUUUGGGAUAACUUCAGGAAACUGGGGCUAAUACCGGAUAGGAGCUCCUGCUGCAUGGUGGGGGUUGGAAAGUUUCGGCGGUUGGGGAUGGACUCGCGGCUUAUCAGCUUGUUGGUGGGGUAGUGGCUUACCAAGGCUUUGACGGGUAGCCGGCCUGAGAGGGUGACCGGCCACAAUGGGACUGAGAUACGGCCCAGACUCCAACGGGAGGCAGCAGUGGGGAAUAUUGCAAAAUGGGCGGAAGCCUGAUGCAGCAACGCCGGGUGCGGGAUGACGGCCUUCGGGUUGUAAACCGCUUUCGCCUGUGACGAAGCGUGAGUGACGGUAAUGGGUAAAGAAGCACCGGCUAACUACGUG
rnacentral:rRNA from 1 species